CGGAUUAGAUAGUCAAAGGUGAAAGCCUGCAGCUUAACUGUAGAAGUGCCUUUGAUACUGCUAAUCUUGAGUACAGUUGAGGCGAGUGGAAUGUGUAGUGUAGCGGUGAAAUGCAUAGAUACUACACAGAACACCAAUUGCGAAGGCAGCUCGCUAAGCUGUUACUGACGCUCAGGCACGAAAGCGUGGGGAGCGAACAGGAUUAGAUACCCUGGUAGUCCACGCUGUAAACUAUGAUCACUAGCUGUUGGCGAUAAAUUGUCAGUGGCUCAGCGAAAGCGUUAAGUGAUCCACCUGGGGAGUACGAUCGCAAGGUUGAAACUCAAAGGAAUUGACGGGGGCCCGCACAAGCGGUGGAACAUGUGGUUUAAUUCGAUGAUACGCGAGGAACCUUACCUGGGCUUAAAUGUAGAGCGACGUCUCGAGAAAUCGGGAUUCCCUUCGGGGCGAACUACAAGGUGCUGCAUGGUUGUCGUCAGCUCGUGCCGUGAGGUAUCGGGUUAAGUCCCAUAACGAGCGCAACCCUUAUUGUUAGUUGCCAGCGGAUAAUGCCGGGGACUCUAACAAAACUGCCCGUGUAAACGGGAGGAAGGUGGGGAUGACGUCAAAUCAGCACGGCCCUUAUGUCCAGGGCUACACACGUGUUACAAUGGCUGGAACAAAGGGCAGCUACCACGCAAGUGGAUGCUAAUCUCUAAAUCCAGUCCCAGUUCGGAUCGAAGUCUGCAAUUCGACUUCGGAAGAGGAAUCGCUAGU
rnacentral:rRNA from 1 species